rnacentral:rRNA from 1 species
UACGAAGGAUGCAAGCGUUAUCCGGAUUCAUUGGGUUUAAAGGGAGCGUAGGUGGCCUUAUAAGUCAGUGGUGAAAUCUCUGGGCUUAACCCAGAAAUUGCCAUUGAUACUGUAGGGCUUGAGUAUAGUUGCCGUUGACGGAAUAUGACAUGUAGUGGUGAAAUACAUAGAGAUGUCAUAGAACACCGAUUGCGAAGGCAGCUGACGAAACUAUAACUGACACUGAGGCUCGAAAGUGCGGGGAUCAAACAGG